CUUUACACAUGCAAGUACGAACGGCANCGACGGGGCAACCUGGUGGCGAGUGGCGAACGGGUGAGUAAUACAUCGGAACGUGCCCAGUCGGUGGGGGAUAACGUAGACGAAAGCUACGCUAAUACCCGCAUACGAUCUACGGAUAGAAAGGCGGGGGACUCGCAAGAGCCUCGCGCGAUUGGAGCGGCCGAUGGCAGAUUAGGUAGUUGGUGGGGUAAAGGCUCACCAAGCCUGCGAUCUGUAGCUGGUCUGAGAGGACGACCAGCCACACUGGGACUGAGACACGGCCCAGACUCCUACGGGAGGCAGCAGUAGGGAAUCUUCCGCAAUGGACGAAAGUCUGACGGAGCAACGCCGCGUGAGUGAUGAAGGUUUUCGGAUCGUAAAACUCUGUUGUUAGGGAAGAACAAGUGCCGUUCGAAAGGGCGGCACCUUGACGGUACCUAACGAGAAAGCCACGGCUAACUACGUG
rnacentral:rRNA from 1 species